GACCUCGGAUCAGACAAGGAUACCCGCUGAACUUAA
rnacentral:rRNA from 1 species